rnacentral:rRNA from 1 species
CCUACGGGAGGCAGCAGUGGGGAAUAUUGGACAAUGGGCGAAAGCCUGAUCCAGCAAUGCCGCGUGAGUGAUGAAGGCCUUCGGGUCGUAAAGCUCUUUUACCAGGGAUGAUAAUGACAGUACCUGGAGAAUAAGCUCCGGCUAACUCCGUGCCAGCAGCCGCGGUAAUACGGAGGGAGCUAGCGUUGUUCGGAAUUACUGGGCGUAAAGAGUACGUAGGCGGUUAUUCAAGUCAGAGGUGAAAGCCCGGGGCUCAACCCCGGAACUGCCUUUGAAACUAGAUAACUAGAGUCUUGGAGAGGUUAGUGGAAUUCCGAGUGUAGAGGUGAAAUUCGUAGAUAUUCGGAAGAACACCAGUGGCGAAGGCGACUAACUGGACAAGUACUGGCGCUGAGGUACGAAAGCGUGGGGAGCAAACAGGAUUAGAUACCCUGGUAGUCCACGCCGUAAACGAUGAUAACUAGUUGUUCGGUCACUUGGUGACGUGAGUGACGCAGCUAACGCAUUAAGUUAUCCGCCUGGGGAGUACGGUCGCAAGAUUAAAACUCAAAUGAAUUGACG